UGGGGAAUAUUGGACAAUGGGGGAAACCCUGAUCCAGCCAUGCCGCGUGAGUGAAGAAGGCCUUCGGGUUGUAAAGCUCUUUCAGUUGUGAAGAUGAUGACGGUAACAACAGAAGAAGCCCCGGCUAACUUCGUGCCAGCAGCCGCGGUAAUACGAAGGGGGCUAGCGUUGUUCGGAAUUACUGGGCGUAAAGCGCACGUAGGCGGCGUACCAAGUCAGAGGUGAAAGCCCGGGGCUCAACCCCGGAACUGCCUUUGAUACUGGUAUGCUAGAAUUCGAGAGAGGGUAGUGGAAUUCCUAGUGUAGAGGUGAAAUUCGUAGAUAUUAGGAAGAACACCAGUGGCGAAGGCGGCUGCCUGGCUCGAUAUUGACGCUGAGGUGCGAAAGCGUGGGGAGCGAACAGGAUUAGAUACCCGCGUAGUCC
rnacentral:rRNA from 1 species